CAGAAGCUUCUGUGGCUGUUGAGUUACAGGUGUGUCUGCAGGGAGGACUUCCCAAGCCCCAGGGCCAGAUGCUUGGCCCCAACCCAGCUCCCAUGGCAUGGGUCCUCCAAAAGGAAAGACCCAAUUAUUUGCCGCCAAAACGUCUCAUGACUCAUAUGAAUUCUGGAGACAAACACAGAAGGAAGCACCCCGAGGACAAGUGAUGGAACAAAAGGCUGUUCAGGAGGAGGAACACUCAGGGAGAAGCAGUGGCUCAUUGGCAGCCCUAGCUGCAGGAAGGAAGGCAAAGCCAGACACGGGCACAGGCACAGCAGAUGCAGCCGGCACCACAAGACCUGUUCCCAAUGCCCAGGAUGGCCUCGGAAGGGGUUUCUAUCAGGAAACAGGCUACUGGCUAGCAAUACUGGCAUUUAUGUUUUGUUUGGAGCUUGUCUUCGUGUUGUGCUUGUUUGGAAUCCGGUAUUUGGAAUCGGGAAGAGAAAACAGAGCACCUCGGGACAGGAGUUGAAAGACGGUGGCUGCACCUCACACCCAGAGAGCGUGAGCAGCUCCUCCAGCAGCAGGAACGGCCCGGACAGCCCUCUCAAGUGUUCUGUGAAGAGGACCCCAGAAGAGCCGUCGACAAGGAAGCGUCUUAUUGCCCCGUAGAUCCCACUGCCACCUGCUCUCCCCAUGGGCCUCCCCAAGCUUCCUUUAUUCCUUUUUUUCUCUCCGUCUGUCCCAUCCCAGCCAACCCGAGUUCCGCUAGGGACCCCAGGACCAGCCCAGCACCUUCCAGCACCUCCUGAGACCAACACAUCCCUUCCUCUGCCCCUGAGCCCCCUGGCCUUGCCCUCUAGGCAACACUGAAGGUUGUGGAGGAUUUUGUGAACAGCUGGCUAGCUAACAAAGGUCACACUGACAUAAUACCGUUAAUUAAGCAAGAAGGAGACGAGGAUAGGAGUCAGCAGUCAGUGUCCAAACCUGGCAAGGGCACUGUGCCCUUGGUGCAACAUCAGGAUGGGGGAGAGGAUCGUUAGUUAGAAACAUGAAGAAAAUAUGUAAACAGCUGCAGCAUAGUAGCCUCAAGAAUGAUAAGGUAGGCGUAGUUAGCUGAUAAGUAACUAACCAAUAAUGAGCUCGCUUUUUGCAAUAUGUAUUAGCCUCAUUAACACCAAUAUAAAUGUAUGUGCCUAUCAAUAAAGUUUUGAGAUUUGCUGAUCACUCAUAUUGAGUGCCGCAUUUCUUCCGCCGAUUACCACAAAUGGUGACCCCGGACGUGAUAUCGGUAAUGGCAACCACGGUGGAUCGGUGAACGAGUUCGGGUCCUACAGCAGCAAGGAUGGCGAAUAAGC